rnacentral:rRNA from 1 species
ACGGGAGGCAGCAGUGGGGAAUAUUGCACAAUGGGGGAAACCCUGAUGCAGCGACGCCGCGUGAAGGAAGAGGUAUUUCGGUAUGUAAACUUCUAUCAGCAGGGAAGAAGAUGACGGUACCUGACUAAGGAGCACCGGCUAAAUACGUGCCGGCAGCCGCGGUAAUACGUAUGGUGCAAGCGUUAUCCGGAUUUACUGGGUGUAAAGGGAGCGUAGACGGAGAAGCAAGUCUGGAGUGAAAGCCCGGGGCUCAACCCCGGGACUGCUUUGGAAACUGUUUGUCUUGAGUGCCGGAGAGGUAAGCGGAAUUCCUAGUGUAGCGGUGAAAUGCGUAGAUAUUAGGAGGAACACCAGUGGCGAAGGCGGCUUACUGGACGGCAACUGACGUUGAGGCUCGAAAGCGUGGGGAGCAAACAGGAUUAGUACCUGGUA